CUGUUGUGGCGAUGGCAAAAGCUGUAGGCUGUGGAUCGUGCCUCACCUCAUCCCCACCAGCAAAGGAGCCCUCUGGCAGCAUUCGCAGUGCCAUCACACAGUGGAAUUGCCGGCCUUGCGCUUUGCCAGGCUGCGGAUCCUGGUGCUCCCAUCCCAGGGCUCGAACCGAGAGAUCCAGUGCUCGUGGUCUCCCGGGGCUAAUUCUUUUGCCGUCUGCAGCCACUUGAGUGCAGGCUGAUAAACUAGAACGCCUGUAUUUUGUCACCAUAAUUUUUCAUGAGGGUUUGGUUUUGUCUGAUCCCUGAAUUUUCCCAGGCUUGCUUUUGCCUAAAAGUAAGCACUUGAAUUCCCUUUCAGGCUUGAAUACGACUAGGUUUUAGUUAUAGAGGUAGGUCCUUAUGCAGAAAUAUUUUUAACGUUUGAAAAUCUACUAUUUUAAGUUCAAGUGAUGAAUGAAUUUUUUAACUUGGCAGUGAAAUGCCCAGGGACUAAGCUGUCAGGCAUUAGAGGUACCAGAAGCAGCAGCCCUUGGAGGUCUCUUGGUCUGUUGGGGUUUCUCAUAACCCACCAAACCGCUGAUGGGCAGGAACCAUUCCCUGUGUCUGUGAUGUGAAUCAGAGAAAACCUGGAGGAUAUAAUUCAAAUAGCUGUGACCCAAGGGGGUGAGAAAAACUGGGAGCCAGCACCUGGUGUGCUGGUGAGGUGGCAAAAUUUGUAAGGCAUCAAAAUCCAAACCUGGACUUGCUGCCUUAUGGUCCAGUUACUCAGUGCUCUUUCCCUGCCCACACUCAAGGUGAAGCAGGGAUGGGCGGCAGUCAUCACGGCCAUGGUGCAAGCAAAAUGGUGCAGCAUUGGGAAGGGGUAAGCUGGAGGCUUAAAAGUAAUUUCUAAAAAAGAUUCCCAGCCUGACUGCAAGGCCUCAGAUGUUGUCAGUAAUGUGUUUUUUUUUUUUAUCUGGACCAUCCUUCUACCCAGGAAGGCUGGGCUCUCUCCCUGCUUGCUUCCCAGGAGUGAAAAGCACCAAACAAGGGCCUUGGAGAGACCUGCUGCCUGCACUGGAAAAUAAAGGCAAAUUCCAUGAGGAGGAGACAUGGUGAAGCCAAAGCCCAGCAGCCUGAUUUUCUGGAGCUGGUGGGAACAGGGGACAGCUCCCAUGUACCUGGACAAAACCAGAGAGGCUGCAAUGGUGUGAAUGCCAGAGUUCCUGUUAGUUGGAGAAGAAGGAGAGCUGCAUGUUCUCAGACCUGCUUGCACUCCCCUUCAUGUAGGAUGACAUAGGACAUGUCCUCUUCACUACCCUGGAGCUGGGCAAGUGUGACCCUGAGCCAACAGCUCAAACCCCACCCUGCCCGGUGCUGAUGCUCUGAGUCCUCAAGCACAUGGGUCUGCGUGCCCCAGCCAGGUCAGAAACACUGACUGCCUCUUGCAGCCUAGAUUCAAGUCAAGUGAGCACAGCACCUGUAGGAAGACAGCUUGUUUUUGACAGAAAUAGGGAUGCCAGCUCUAGUUGAACCUGCUACACUGCCUGCUCUGUGCAGGCACACAUUGAUGGCGGCUUUCAUGGGCUCAGGCAUGCAGCACAUACUCUCACACUACAACUUUAACUUCUGAUGGGCAGCAGUUUCCUGUUGCAACACUCAAAGGAGCUGUUUUGUUGUUUUUCCUCCUAUUUUGCCUUUCAUGAAUAUAUUUCAAAUAGAGAACCCCAUGCCUGCUGUUAGUGACCGCACAGAGUGUACACAGCAGAGACAGUAUUAAACAUCCCUUUUAGGAGCCUGUCAGCCCCCUAGAGGUACACGGUGUGAUCCAUGGCUUCCUGUGUCAGAAACCAAUCAGUGCUUGCAGAUAGGAGUACCGAAUCACUAAUGUGAUUAGUUAGCAUUUAACUUAUUUGUAGCUUAUUUCAAAUCAGUCAGUGCUUCUUGCAUACGAUUUUUGUUGAAUAAAGAACAGGCACCACAAAUGCACAGCAUUAUGUCAAUUUGGUUCAUCUUCUGGGAGGAGGACAACCGACUUCACAGAAAGUCUGUGCAUUGCUAUUCAU